UGCGGGGUGGAGCAGUUGGUUAGCUCGCUAGUCUCAUAAGCUAGAGAUCGCUGGUUCGAGUCCAGCCCCACGCAA
rnacentral:tRNA from 1 species